AGCUUUGCACAGUGGCAGUAUCAUAGCCAAUGAGCUUUAUCUGAGGCGCAAUUAUUGCUAAUUGAGGGAAAAAAUUACAAAGUUUUUAUAAAGUUUUUAUUUUAUAGAAUCACAUAACAGA
rnacentral:snRNA from 1 species